UACGGAGGGUGCAAGCGUUAUCCGGAUUCACUGGGUUUAAAGGGUGCGUAGGUUGAUAGGUAAGUCAGUGGUGAAAUACUCCGACUCAAUCGGAGAACUGCCGUUGAUACUAUCUAUCUUGAAUACGGUGGAGGCGGGCGGAAUGCGUCAUGUAGUGGUGAAAUACUUAGAUAUGACGCAGAACACCCAUUGCGAAGGCAGCUCACUAGACUAACAUUGACGCUCAUGCACGAAAGCGUGGGGAGCGAACAGG
rnacentral:rRNA from 1 species